rnacentral:tRNA from 1 species
UCUGUAGCUCAGUGGUAGAGCAUCCGCCUUGUAAGCGGAAGGUCGUGGGUUCAAUCCCCACCGG